rnacentral:lncRNA from 1 species
CACUCUUUGUGAAAAGUAUUUUCGUCACCAUUUUUCGGCCAUAACUCCGGCGUCCGGGGGUGGUUUUUCAAAAACUUGGUGUCAAAAGAAGCAUCUUCCCAUUGCAAACAAACCCCAAUUGAUUUUAUCCUCAAAUUUAUAACCAAUUGAUCAGGAUCUUAAUUUUCAUUUUGCGAAAUUACUGUAGCAAACAGAAUUUUUGUCACUUUUUUACGCUACUGCUUCCAGAUUUGGCGAUUUACUUUAAAGUUUUUGACAAUUAUUAGCUUGUUAUAAAAGUUUCAGCAUAUUCAAUUUAAAGGAAUCAAAAGAUUUUUUUAUUUCACACUGAUUUCUUUCCUUUUCUUGAGUGUCAAAGUAGAUUUUGAAACAGAAAAUAGUUUUAUUUUGUUUUUGGCUUACUGUUUCUGCUAUUAAGAGGUUGAUUCAGCUCAAUCUGCUCUUAUUUUGUUGUUGCUCUGUUGCUACUGUUGUUCUUCUUGCUAUUGCCUACGCCGCUUUAUUAAACUUGGAUUCAUCUGCUGCUACUGGCUCUGUUGCUACUGUUGUUCUUCUUGCUAUUGCCUACGAUGCUUUAUUAAACUUGGAUUCAUAUACUGCUACUGCUUUCUAUAUUCAAUUUUCUGCUCUUUAUUCUCAUCCGUAAGUUCAUUUUCUUUUAAUUCUUCUUUUCUUUGCUGUUACAGUUCUAGUUUUUCUGAUCAACGCAGAUUUAUUUUUUUUGACUGCUUUGGUUUUUAUAGUCCUCCCCCAAUCUGCUUUAGCUCUUCCAUUAAUAAGCUUUUCCUGUUCUUAUAAGAAAAUAACUUCGACGCAAACUUUAACCUGCUACUAUACUGCACAAGUCUGUCCGAUUUAGCCUUUAUUUGGCUAUCUGAAGCUUGUUUUGUUUUGAGUUUUCUAGAUUUUUUGAAUUCUUGCUUUUCGCCGACGAUUUUUCUGGCGACUCCUGCUAUUUUCCUCCUAUUCUCUCUUCUUCUUUUUGUGGGUGUGUGUGGGUGUGUUCUGUUUUCUUGGACAGGUGC